AGCAGAGGCAUUAACUCUUAAUUAACCAGAAAAAUCACCGCAUAUUAGCAAUAAACCGAAAUAUAAUAAAGUUAGCACCGUCCAACCAGUUUAUUAUGAAGGUCUGCUACAGUCCUUGGCUCCAGGCUGUUUGCAGUAGCUCCUAAUAAUACUGACGUUUUAAUUUGGGACCUUUAUGCUUCGUACAAAAUCAAAUAAACACCCAACUGGACUGAAAUCUGGAGGCCAACACCUCAAAUUGGUUGUUGUCUUCCAUGAGAGAGCUCUUUUUCUUUCUGCUAGGAAAACCAGAUCCAUCAGUGCAGCCAUUUUCCAUAUAUGACACUUCUGCGUUCUCAGUAGAACCUGGUAGUGACACCAUCCAUCAUUCUCCCAUCUCAGGUUCCCUUGAUUUUAUUUCUUGGACCAGUAUCAGACCCUCCAAAGCAAUACCAAUCGACUGUCACUGUUUGGUUCUGGCUAAACCACAAGUUGGCCUUAUUAUUAUUUUAUUUUUUUAUGUUUUUCCUUCCGCUUCCAUCACAGGAAGCCCACCUGAAAUCCAUCUGCAAUGAAAGCUUCAUUCAGGAUGCCCAACAGUUUUCUUUAUUUCUGCUCAUUCCCCCUCACGCACUCUGGGCCUGCUCAGAGGAAUGCUGGGUCACAUGAGUGGGCCGGACUGACCUACUUUCAUCCAAUCAGAGGCCGCCGCCUCCUGUUCUCCUCCCCAUCUACCCCAUGCAGCCCAGUCACAUUGAAUCUCAUGUGCUCCGGAGUAGGAGCAAAACAAAUCCAGCAGCAGGGAGGAGGAGAGAGGAGAAGAGCAAGCAACAGAGAGUGGGAAGGAUUUAGAAGGAGGGGGAAGAAGGAAGGGGAAGCAAAAAUGAACAGAAAACUACAAAUAUAGAAAAAGACUCGAUAGAGGACGAUAAUUUGAAAAAGCGAAUGCAAAGAAGAUAAAUAAAUACAAAGGGAAAUGAUGGGGAAGGAAAAUGAAUGAAGGGUUGGUAAAAAAAAUGAAAGGAAAAUGUGAGAAACCAUGAGAAAGGAAAAAGUUUAAAAAAUAAAGUGAAAAUGUAAAAGAAUAAAGAUGAGAAGAGGAGAGCACAUCAGAGAUUUGCCCAUCAUGAUGCUGGAGCUCUUUUAUUUAAGUGAUAAGUUUGGCUCUAUUCCUCUUUCUCUCCUUCCUUCGUUCCUCUGAUUGUUUCUUGUCUCUCUUUGCUAUUUUUUUCUUUCUGCAACCCGGUUCAAACCAGUCGACAAUCCCAGCUACUGUCACCUCAUCACGCCCUCUGCAGAGUCCAGUGAUUGUUUUCUAACUUCUGUUACCUCCAGUUGUGAGAAGAAAAAAAAAAAAAAUCUUUCACAUUGCCAGAUCGGACACUUUCUGGCAUUUCUCUGUUUAUCAGACUUCAGCUCAGUUAAAUGACUCAAAACGCCAGGCAACGCUUCCGAAAAGUUGGCUCGACUAAAUAAAAGUUGGGUUGUAAACAACAGGCGAGGUGAUCCAGCAUUUUCAUUGCCUUUCUGUGCUACUUGCUUUUCUUGUUUCAGUGGGCAUUGCAUCCAUCUUGUGACUCUCUCCUUAAUUGUUGUUAUCAUAGAUUCGAGAGUCAUUGUACGAUAAUAAUAUUUAAUCCUUUUUUUCUUUUUUCGUCUCUGGGUUCCAGUCAAAACAAUUUUUUUUGUGGUACUUAUAGGAGCCAAAUAAGAGCCAAAAGUGUUGUGGUGUUUUUUUGUUUUUUUCUAAACUAUGUAAAUCAUGUUGCUUCUGCGUGAACUCGAUCCGGCAGACGAAGAGGCUCCCUGAAACACAAAGCACCCUAAAAACGGUGCGUGUGAUUCUGCGUGCAGCGAAGAGUCCGACAAAGCCGUCAUUAAACACUCCUUAGCAACAGCAGCAACCGAGGGCCUGCAGUGUUGUGGCAACCUUUUUGGUCGAGAGGAAAGUAGGGCAGCGGCGACUGAACCUGUUGCAGCUCUGACUCAUUGCUUUAACGCGCCUCACUGCCACCUGAAGAGGCUUUUCUGUCACUGCACAGAAACCUUUUCAGCUGCCGGCAUGUUAAAGCAGCUCGUAUUUCCCGUCAGUUAAUCCAGACAGAUGGAGUUUGUUGCGUGACAAAGGUUUCUGCAUGAAGAAGGCCGAACACCGAAAGUUUGUUUAAGAAAAGACAUAAUGUAUACACGUAUGCGCCUUUCUCUUCCUUUAGUUGCACUCAGCUGUCACAAGGAGUGCAAAUUACAGUAAUCGUGUGACUUUUAUUUGACAUAAUCGACAAUAGAAUUAAAUUACUCCCUGGGCAAGGAGGCAAAUUACUCCCUGGGCAAAGUAGUGGGGCUUAUUUUGUAUCGAAAUGAAUCACAGAUUGGUUGACCAUGAAAUAAUCAUCUUCAAAAGCGUAGAGAAAACAGAAGCUUUUUACAUUUUAAACAUCUUAUUAAGUCUUCUUUAGAAACAACUGGAAAACUACUGUUUUCUAUAUUUUUUUCCCUCAAGCAAAGUCAGUUUAAUCUGUACAGAUUUGCUCCAUGUGCUGCCAUCUUUGCAGCAUGUAAAAAUGUUGGUUAAAGUCCUAUAAUUUUUCUGAUCGGUUGUCGUUACAUUGCCGUCUAAUAAUAUUACUCAAAUCUGGCUUCCCAGCAGCUCCGAUUAACACAGGAGUGCCUCAGGACGGUGUGCACGGACCACUGCUCUUUGCACAUUUAUAGAAUCCCACUUGAUCUUUUGUGAACAAUUGUACGUUAGUGAAACUGAAAUCCUGGCUGCGGCUCCACAGACGCUUCUCUUGUUCCUGUUCAGAUUGAAAUAAUUACUACCUACUCUUUAACUUUUGAAUGGAAUCUGUGAGUAAAUCUUGCCUCAUUGGAGAAACAUCUCCAGACCCAGCCCACGAGUGUUUUGAUUCGCCCUCUUUCUCAACUACCGUCGGCUCUACCAACUAACAUUCACGCAAACGCUUGGGUGUGCACCCAAAACUCACCAAGCUCUAACCACUCCCUUCUGUUCUCUGUGUUUACAUCUACAAUGUUCAACCCUUUGUAGAAUGCAUCUUACAAUAACAGUUAUUCACAGAGGCAUUCAGGACAAAUGAGUGUUUCUUCCCCUACUCCCAUCACUGACCCAUUUAGCGUUUUGGUUGAUUCAUAUGCCAUCAUUCCGGAUUUUGUGAUACCUCUGGAGAGGCUCUGCAAAAAUGUUUGCCUCUUAUAGUCUCCAAAGGCGUUAUGCCUUUUUAUUUGUCCAAUUUCUCUGUUUUUUUUCCAUUGCCUUCCGUCUUUGUUUCUAUGUUUUCUUCCAUAGUAACGGGGUGCUGGCGAAGUUUGUCUCAGCUGGUCAGCGAGACAGAUUUACAAUCUGAAAUAUCCUAAAGGAUUAUAAUGCUCAUAAUUUAUCCAGUUUCUUUAAGAGCAAAAUUUUCAAAAUGG